rnacentral:rRNA from 1 species
UGCGAGUUGAGAGGGUUCGGCCCUCGGCUGACGGCUCAGUAACACGUGGAUAAUCUGCCCUGGGGUGGAGGAUAAUCUCGGGAAACUGAGAAUAAUACUCCAUAGGUCUAGGAGGCUGGAAUGCAUCUAGACUAAAAGCUCCGGCGCCCUAGGAUGAGUCUGCGGGCUAUCAGGUAGUAGUCAGGGUAACGACCUGACUAGCCAAUGACGGAUACGGGUUGUGAGAGCAAUCGCCCGGAGACGAUAUCUGAGACACGAUAUCGGGCCCUACGGGGCGCAGCAGGCGCGAAAACUUCACACUGUGCGAAAGCACGAUGAGGGAAUCCCAAGUGCCAGCUCGUAAGAGUUGGCUGUUUCUUUGUCUAAAAAACAGAGAGAGUAAGAGCUGGGUAAGACGGGUGCCAGCCGCCGCGGUAAUACCUGCAGCUCGAGUGGUGGCCGCUAUUAUUGGGCCUAAAACGUCCGUAGCCGGUUUUGCAAAUGCCUGGGUAAAUCGUAUAGCUUAACUAUACGAAUUCCGGGUAGACUACGAAACUUGAGACCGGGAGAAGCUAGAGGUACUCUUGGGGUAGAGGUGAAAUUCUGUAAUCCUAAGGGGACCACCAGUGGCGAAGGCGUCUAGCUAGAACGGGUCUGACGGUGAGGGACGAAGCCCUGGGGCGCAAACCGGAUUAGAUACCCC